AUUGAACGCUGGCGGCAUGCCUUACACAUGCAAGUCGAACGGCAGCACGGGAGCAAUCCUGGUGGCGAGUGGCGAACGGGUGAGUAAAGUAUCGGAACGUGCCCAGCCGUGGGGGAUAACGUAGCGAAAGUUACGCUAAUACCGCAUACGAUCUAUGGAUGAAAGCGGGGGAUCGCAAGACCUCGCGCGAUUGGAGCGGCCGAUAUCAGAUUAGGUAGUUGGUGGGGUAAAGGCUCACCAAGCCGACGAUCUGUAGCUGGUCUGAGAGGACGACCAGCCACACUGGGACUGAGACACGGCCCAGACUCCUACGGGAGGCAGCAGUGGGGGAUUUUGGACAAUGGGCGAAAGCCUGAUCCAGCCAUGCCGCGUGCAGGAUGAAGGCCUUCGGGUUGUAAACUGCUUUUGUACGGAACGAAAAGGUUUGGCCUAAUAAGCUGAGCUCAUGACGGUACCGUAAGAAUAAGCACCGGCUAACUACGUGCCAGCCGCCGCAGUAA
rnacentral:rRNA from 1 species